UAGGGAAAUUAAACAAAAAAA
rnacentral:piRNA from 1 species